GACGAACGCUGGCGGCGUGCUUAACACAUGCAAGUCGAACGGAAAGGCCCUGCUUUUGUGGGGUGCUCGAGUGGCGAACGGGUGAGUAACACGUGAGUAACCUGCCCUUGACUUUGGGAUAACUUCAGGAAACUGGGGCUAAUACCGGAUAGGAGCUCCUGCUGCAUGGUGGGGGUUGGAAAGUUUCGGCGGUUGGGGAUGGACUCGCGGCUUAUCAGCUUGUUGGUGGGGUAGUGGCUUACCAAGGCUUUGACGGGUAGCCGGCCUGAGAGGGUGACCGGCCACAUUGGGAAGGAGAUACGGCCCAGACUCCUACGGGAGGCAGCAGUGGGGAAUAUGGCACAAUGGGCGGAAGCCUGAUGCAGCAACGCCGCGUGCGGGAGGACGGCCUUCGGGUUGUAAACCGCUUUCGCCUGUGACGAAGCGUGAGUGACGGUAAUGGGUAAAGAAGCACCGGCUAACUACGU
rnacentral:rRNA from 1 species